GCCAGACGUCCGGUAGUAGGCCCUGAUAAUAGAGGCAAAAUGCUCCACAUUUCAGAUGGAGGCACACCUGAUGAGGAGGCAGUCAUCUACAAAGAGUAGGUGUGAGAGUGGCUAGACAUUAGGGGCAGGCCAAUAUGGCUUCACGGCCUUUUCCUAAACCGCUGCUCUCAACGUCCUGGAUAAGGUAUCAGCACAUAAAAUGAAUAGGUAGAAAGAGAAAGAACAAUCUUGGCG
rnacentral:lncRNA from 1 species